rnacentral:rRNA from 1 species
UACUAGCGAUUCCGACUUCAUGGAGUCGAGUUGCAGACUCCAAUCCGGACUACGACGCACUUUAUGAGGUCCGCUUGCUCUCGCGAGGUCGCUUCUCUUUGUAUGCGCCAUUGUAGCACGUGUGUAGCCCUACUCGUAAGGGCCAUGAUGACUUGACGUCAUCCCCACCUUCCUCCAGUUUAUCACUGGCAGUCUCCUUUGAGUUCCCGGCCGGACCGCUGGCAACAAAGGAUAAGGGUUGCGCUCGUUGCGGGACUUAACCCAACAUUUCACAACACGAGCUGACGACAGCCAUGCAGCACCUGUCUCAGAGUUCCCGAAGGCACCAAUCCAUCUCUGGAAAGUUCUCUGGAUGUCAAGAGUAGGUAAGGUUCUUCGCGUUGCAUCGAAUUAAACCACAUGCUCCACCGCUUGUGCGGGCCCCCGUCAAUUCAUUUGAGUUUUAACCUUGCGGCCGUACUCCCCAGGCGGUCGACUUAACGCGUUACUCCGGAAGCCACGCCUCAAGGGCACAACCUCCAAGUCGACAUCUUUACGGCGUGACUACAGGGUAUCUAAUCCUGUUUGCUCCCCACGCUUUCCAACUGAAC